CCCAUCGAUAGUUAUCCAUCACUAUCGUUAUAGCGUGUCAUUUUACGUGUUUGUUCUUAUAAAUCGUCUAAAAAUUGCAUCGGUCUUUGCUUCUCCGCUGUAAAAUCUUCAUAAGUUCCCACCCCAAUCGUUUGCGUUUAUGGCAAUGAAUAGUGAAAUGAUCUGCCGCACUUGCUUAAGUCUCAGUGGCCGAAAGGUCGCUACAGACGAGGACGGUAGCAGUGGAAAGUGUAUUGCCAACAUGUUGCAUGAUUUUACAAAAAGCAGACCAAAACGGGAAGACAAGCUGCCAUAAAAGUUUGCUUAUCAUGCAUUCGCGAGAUUGAGCGUUGCUACACGGUCAAGUUGAAAUGUGAGAAUUGCUGCAGUACACUGCGUCAGCUAAUACCUGAUACACUUCCUGUUGAACAGGAAUAUGGGAAACAGGAGACUGAUGAAUAUGGGGAACCGGACUAAAACCUGUGGAAGAUAAACUACAAACCUACUCUCUCAUGUAUUUGUUUAUGCAGUGUUUAUUUUUAUGGGUAUUAAAAAAAAAAGCUAAAAGAAAUUAGAAAAAAACAAUGCAUACAUUGCGAUAAAUUCUCUGUACCAAUACUGUUUUCCAUGGCAGAAAUACACUUCCCAUUACCUGCCGAAGAACAA